AAGUCGAACGGAGCUUAGAGAGCUUGCUUUUUAAGCUUAGUGGCGAACGGGUGAGUAACGCGUGAGUAACCUGCCCUAGAGUGGGGGACAACAGUUGGAAACGACUGCUAAUACCGCAUAAGCCCACGGUGCCGCAUGACACUGAGGGAAAAGGAUUUAUUCGCUUUAGGAUGGACUCGCGUCCAAUUAGCUAGUUGGUGAGGUAACGGCCCACCAAGGCGACGAUUGGUAGCCGGCCUGAGAGGGUGAACGGCCACAUUGGGACUGAGACACGGCCCAAACUCC
rnacentral:rRNA from 1 species